UGUCUGUCCCUAGGAGUGAAACUGCUGGGUCAUAUGGUAUCUGUGUCUUUAUCUGUUUGAGGAACCACCAGACUGUUGUUCUAAAUGUGCCAUUUUCCAUUACUAGCAGCAGAAUACGGGGAUUCUGAUUUCUCCACAUCCUCACCAAUACUCGCUGUUAUUUGACUUUUUGAUUCUGGCCACCCAGUGGUUAUGAAGCAGUAUCUCACUGUGGUUUUGCUUUACAUUUCUGUAUGAGUCAGCUAGGGCUAUUAUAAUAAAUACCAUAGACUGCGAAGCUUAAACAACAGAAAUUCUUGUGAUUCUGGAGGCUGGAAGUCCAAGAUAAAAGUGCUAAGAAGUUGGUUUCUAGGGAAGCCUCUCUUCCUGGCUUGAAGACAGCCACUUUCUUGCUGUGUUUUCAUGUGGCCUUUCCUCUGUGCACAUGCAGUGGGAGAGAGAGAAUAUUCUGUUGUUUUUCCUCUUCUUAUAAAGAUACUACUGGAUUAGGGCCCUUCCCUAUGACCUCCUUUUUACCUUGAUUGCCUCCGUGAAGACCUCGUCUGCAAAUACACUUAAACUGUGGGUAGGGCUUCAAGGUAAGAAUUUGGGAAAGAUGAGACAACAAUUUCCCUGGUGACUAAUGAUACCAGGCAUCUUUUUAUAUGCCUGUUAGCCUUUGUACUAAUAAAUGAUUCCAGGAAUCCUAAAAAGUUAUAGUUUUCAAUAUAAUUUUUAGAAUAAGAAAGUGAGAUCAUCUUAAUUAUUUGAAGUGAAGCACACUUAAAGUUUUUCUUGUGAAGCCAUAACCAACAAAUAGCAUCACAUAAAGAUUGACAUAAUUUAGAUCAAGCAUGUUGCUGAGUCACUAAAAUGUAAAUUAUUGGAUCAUGUUGAUUGUCUAAAAGAGAUAUCCCUAAAUAAGUAACAUAGAAAGAUAAUUAUAAAAGAUUGGUAAAGUUGGGCCAGGCACGGUGGCUCACGCCUGUAAUCCCAGCACUUUGGGAGGCCAAGGCAGGUGGAUCACGAGGUCAAGAGAUCGAGGCCAUCCUGGUCAACAUAGUGAAACCUCGUCUCUACUAAAAAUACAAAAAAUUAGCUGGGCAUGGUGGCGCAUGCCUGUAAUCCCAGCUACUCAGGAGGCUGAGGCAGGAGAAUUGCCUGAACCCAGGAGGCGGAGGUUGCGGAGAGCUGAGAUCGCACCAUUGCACUCC